UACGUAGGUGGCAAGCGUUGUCCGGAAUUAUUGGGCGUAAAGGGCUCGUAGGCGGUUUGUCGCGUCGGGAGUGAAAUCCACUGGCUUAACUGGUGGCUUGCUUUCGAUACGGGCAGACUGGAGGUAUGCAGGGGAGAACGGAAUUCCUGGUGUAGCGGUGAAAUGCGCAGAUAUCAGGAGGAACACCGGUGGCGAAGGCGGUUCUCUGGGCAUGUCCUGACGCUGAGGAGCGAAAGUGUGGGGAGCGAACAGG
rnacentral:rRNA from 1 species